rnacentral:rRNA from 1 species
AACUCUCAACAACGGAUAUCUAGGCUCUCGCAACGAUUAAGAACGCAACGAAAUGCGAUACGUAGUGUGAAUUGCAGAAUUCCGUGAGUCAUCGAAUCUUUGAACGCACAUUGCCGGUCGAGUCUUCGGACGAGACCACAUCUGCCUCAGCGUCG